ACGAAAUGUCUACAUAUCCGAAUAAAAAGAAUGACCGUUGGGAGUUCGAAUAUUUCGAAAUAAAGGACAAGUUUAAAGCAGUAUGUAAAUUGUGUUUGCCAAACAGACGAAACAUAAUUUAUAUUAAUACAUCUACCCUAACUCAACAUUAAAAAAAAAAGCAUUCUAAUAUGAUAGUGAAGCAAGAACAUUGGAUAUGGGAACAUUUCGAAAAAAUUAACGAUUCAAAGGCUAAAUGCAAAAUACCGGAAUGCCACCGGCGCAUGUCGAUAAACCGGAGCUAUUUUUCUCUACAAUAUCAUUUAUUAAACCGACAUAAUAUAAAGGAAUCAGACGAUAAUUUACAUGACUCGACGUGGAACUAUGUUACACAGCAUAAUAAUUUUAGUGUGAAAUGUGCGCUAUGUAAGAAACGAAAAGGAAAGAAUAUGAUACAGUUUAGUUUAUCAACAAGCAUGUCAAGACAUCUUGAUAAAAUACAUGGAAAGACUUCUGCAACAGUACAAGAACUAAACGAUAUAUCUAAACCAUGACAAGUACACAAAAGUAAGAAAGAAAAAUGAAUAGACUUUGACAACGGAUCUGCAAGUAGCCAGCCAGCAAUAACAACAGUUUUGACUUCAACGAUUAGUGACUUAAACAAUUCGAAAUCUCUGAAAAAAUCCUAUGGUGGAAAAAUGUUGAACUGAUUAAUGAUUUUCAUGUGUGAUGCAAGAAGAGUUCUAACACUAUGAUUCUAAAGCUUACCUUCUCAAACUACAUAAAAAGACACGUGAAGAAACAGUAUAGACUUGGGCAACAGACUUGGGCAACAAUAUUUAUCCAGAACAGAUUAUGACAACGUUCUACGUUCAAGUAGCACAGCCAGCAAUAACAAUAAUUUUGAUUUUGAUAACUUAAAUGAUUUGGAAUAACUGAAAACAAUUCGUAUUUCGAAAAAAUCGUAUUAAUGUCUAAUUAUUUUAAUCGUAAACAUUUGUAUCAAUUUGGGGAUUAAUACUGUAUCAAUUAUAAUAUAGUGCAUAACUGAUA